GUUAUCCAGUUUAGUCAGCCUGUUGUAGGUUACUUGGGCAGUCUAAUUUAUUAAAAUAAGUUAUGAAUAUUAGCAAUUAAAAAUGCUAGAAAGUAAAUAAAUGAGAAGAAGUUCAAUAAAUGAAAAGAAGUUCUGAAAUAAAUUAUAUUAGCUCCAAAAAUUUAUUCCUUAGAAUGAUCUGAAGUAAAUUAAACUAGUUCUAAAAAUUUUAAAUAUU
rnacentral:misc_RNA from 1 species